rnacentral:sRNA from 1 species
UCUAUAAUUGUGGAGAUAGACGGUAUG